AUUUAGUAUAGGUGUGCAUUAUACAAUUUUAAUGCACUUUAAGGCUUUUAAUUCAAUAACUGAGUAUGUUGACUGUCUGUGUUUACAAAGGAUUAUUAAAUUGUUGAGUUUGUUCCUGCUCUUUGGUCUGACGUGGUCUGUGGCGUUCUUCAGUUAUGGACCGAUGCUCAUUCCCUCAUAUUACAUAUUCACUGUGCUGAACUCGUCUCAGGGGUUUUUCCUCUUCCUGUAUUACUAUCACAUUCACAAUGAUGUUGCGGGUAGUUUCUCUGAUGAUCCAGAAAGCACCGACUCCACCACAACCAUCGCUCAAUCCAGCAUUAAUGCUGAAGAAAAUAUUUAUCACUAGCAUAAUUAAGACAGAAGACUUUCUUUGUCUCAGACUUUCUUUCUCUUAGACUAAAAUGACCCUAAAAAGAGUCAAUUUUACUGAAAUCACUCAAAUAAGUGACAAAUAUCUAUUGAUUGUUACUAAAAACUUGUAGAAGGAUUUUAUUGUGCUUCCAAAUCUCUAAUAUAAUGUGAAAUGACUGAUGUUAGAUUUAUUGAGCAUUAUAAUCAUCUAUGUGUGAUCAUGUGUGUGUUAGAGCAACUCAAACCACACUGAACCUUAUUUAGAAAACAUAUUUACAUCUUCAGGAGGACAGUAAUGUCCGCACGCUUGUGGAUUGAGAUAUUUGCAUGAUCAUUUUAUAAAGCAGCUUACGAAAAUCCACACACACGGAUGUGAAACAUAUUUGGUUACUGGAAACACACAUAACAAAAAAAAAAAAACAUUACAGAAUCCACACACACGGAUAGUGAAACAUAUUUAGGUUACUAGGAAACAACACAAUAACAAAAAAAAAAAAAAACAAUUACAGAAUCAGUGAAUCCAUCGUUUUAUGUUGCUUAUGAUUCUUUGUUAUAUUUCUCAGUAUGUGUUUCUAAUGAAACUAAUAAAAUAUAAUUGUACUAAUCAUGAUGGACUGACUGCAAAAUCAUUUAUUCACUUUAGUCACUUAUAAAUACACCAAUGUCAUUCAUUAGGUCACAAAAUAUCAAAGCAAAUGUCACUUACUGUACAAACAGGUGCACAAACACACCAACAAAACAUAAAAACAUGACAUUUUCUGUAUCUAAAUCCUGUCAGAAAUCAAUUAAUGAAAGUUAUUUUUUCAUUAGCAUCUUCAAAUUGUGUCUACUAUUAUUAAAUGUUUGUUUUCUAUAUUUAUAUAUAGUUCUCUGUGAACAAAGGUGACUUGAUAAACUGGUCUUCAAUGUUAGCAGAUAAUGAGAUGCUCAGUUAUAGCCCAAAUAAACAUGAUUUGCAUGUUUUCAAAUGAACUGUAUGUCAGUGUCCUGUGGCUCAUAAUCAAACAGCUUCAUAUGUGGACGCAUCAAACUCUCUCAACUCUUGGACUGUGGACUUUAGCUCAAGAAUGUAAUAAGAAAAUGAUUAAAGAAUUAUUAGCUCUGUCUGAAGAAAGCAAAAUUAAAUGUGUUUCUCUAACAGGCCGCUGUCUCUGGGAAUCAUGUCUCGACAAAAGCAGAAUUUGCUGUGGCUGAUGAUCAUCUGUUGUGCUCCGUGCCGGAUAAGAACAGGUAUGUUGCUUUAAAAAACUGCUUUCAUUAACUUAAAGAGAAAUUAAUGCCAAUUAAUAUGUUGUUUGAUGCCCAAUAGAAAAC
rnacentral:lncRNA from 1 species